UACGAAGGGGCUAGCGUUGCUUCGGAAUCACUGGGGCGUAAAGCGCACGUAGGGCGGAUCUUUAAGUACAGGGGUGGAAAUCCCAAGCCUCAAUCGUUGGAACUGCCUUUGAUACUGGGGAUCUCCGAGGUCGGAAGAGGUGAGUGGAACUGCGAGUGUAGAGGUGAAAUUCGUAGAUAUUCGCAAGAACACCAGUGGCGAAGGCGGACUCACUGGCCCGGUACUGACGCUGAGGUGGCGAAAGCGUGGGAGCAA
rnacentral:rRNA from 1 species